AUUGAACGCUAGCGGGAUGCCUUACACAUGCAAGUCGAACGGAGUGGCGAACGGGUGAGUAAUGUAUCGGAACGUGCCCAGUAGUGGGGGAUAACUACGCGGAAGCGUAGCUAAUACCGCAUACGAUUGGAGCGGCCGAUGUCGGAUUAGCUAGUUGGUGGGGUAACGGCUCACCAAGGCGACGAUCCGUAGCUGGUUUGAGAGGACGACCAGCCACACUGGGACUGAGACACGGCCCAGACUCCUACGGGAGGCAGCAGUGGGGAAUUUUGGGCAAUGGGGGAAAGCCUGAUCCAGCCAUCCCGCGUGUGCGAUGAAGGCUUUCGGGUUGUAAAGCACUUUUGGCAGGAAAGCGGUACCUGACGAAUAAGCACCGGCUAACUACGUGCCAGCAGCCGCGGUAAUUC
rnacentral:rRNA from 1 species